rnacentral:tRNA from 1 species
UGGGGGAUGGUGUAACGGUAGCACACUGCACUCUGGAUGCAGAGAUCGGGGUUCGAAUCCCUGUCCCCCAGCCA